GCCCGGCCACGGCCCCGCCGAAAAGAAACGAGGCCACGAGCGAACUAGAACAGGACGCUUGGGGUCUCCGAGCACUAUGAGCUCGACCUCAGAUCAGGUAGGAAUACCCGCUGAACUUAAGCAUAUCAAUAAGCGGAGGAAAAGAAACCAACAGGAUUGCCUCAGUAGCGGCGAGUGAAGCGGCAAGAGCUCAGAUUUGAAAUCGUGUUUCGGCACGAGUUGUAGAGUGUAGCGGGAGUCUCUGUGGAGCGCGGUGUCCAAGUCCCUUGGAACAGGGUGCCUGAGAGGGUGAGAGCCCCGUGGGGUGCUGCGCGAAGCUUUGAGGCCCUGCUGACGAGUCGAGUUGUUUGGGAAUGCAGCUCUAAGCGGGUGGUAAAUUCCAUCUAAGGCUAAAUACUGGCGAGAGACCGAUAGCGAACAAGUACUGUGAAGGAAAGAUGAAAAGCACUUUGAAAAGAGAGUGAAACAGCACGUGAAAUUGUUGAAAGGGAAGGGUAUUGGGCCCGACAUGGGGAGUGCGCACCGCUGUCUCUUGUAGGCGGCGCUCUGGGCGCUCUCUGGGCCAGCAUCGGUUCUUGCUGCGAGAGAAGUGGCGCCGGAAAGUGGCUCUUCGGAGUGUUAUAGCCGGUGCCGGAUGUCGCGUGCGGGGACCGAGGGCUGCGACAUCUGUCUCGGAUGCUGCACAACGGCGCAAU
rnacentral:rRNA from 1 species